rnacentral:rRNA from 1 species
CAAUAGCGUAUAUUAAAGUUGUUGCAGUUAAAAAGCUCGUAGUUGAAUUUUUGCUUGCCGCCGAUGUCGGAACUUCCGUACGUUCGGCGGCGUGCAUCCUUGGGUGGAACCUGUGUGGCAUUAGGUUGUCGUGCAGGGGAUGCUCAUCGUUUACUGUGAAAAAAUUAGAGUGUUCAAAGCAGGCUUACGCCGUUGAAUAUACUAGCAUGGAAUAAUAAGAUAGGACCUUGGUACUAUUUUGUUGGUUUGCGCACCGAGGUAAUGAUUAACAGGGACAGUUGGGGGUAUUCGUAUUCCAUUGUCAGAGGUGAAAUUCUUGGAUUUCUGGAAGACGAACUACUGCGAAAGCAUUUACCAAGGAUGUUUUCAUUAA